UACAAUAUUAAUUAAACUUAGAUCAAAGCAUUUUUAUCCUUACAACAGUUGAAAGUUGAAGCCAUAGGCAUUGGAAAAGCUUCUUUGCUAUAUUACACAAAACAGUGAGACUCCUUGAAACCAUAGGCAUUGGAAAAGCUUCUUUGCUAUAUUACACAAAACAGUGAGACUCCUAGGAAGGGAAGACCGAAGCACCAAAAAUUUUAAGUGGUCUUUGCACUUUGACACGGUACUUAACAGCGCCAGCUUGUUCUUCCGCACUGUAAAACGCAACUCUAUCACCAACCCUCAGCUGUUUGCUGCAAACAAACUCUCGCCAUCCCUUGGUAAGAACCGGCUUCAGGAAAUUGUUGUUGCUCUUCUUACGAGUGUAAAUUCGAAACUUCCAGACAUGGCCACUCUCCUCGUCUUUAACCGCAAAAUCCACCAUAUGCUUGUUACUUAGAGGAGGGAAAUGAUGGAGGGACUUGCUUGGGAUCGUCAAUCGCUUCUCCAAAUCCGUCUUCUUAAGAUUCUUUAAGAAUAUCGCCAUUGAUGGAAGUAAGGGCUAGAGAAAGACCAGAAAACUGUGGUUUGUGCCUAAGAGAAGGAAUUCCUCCCAUAUAUAAAGAAGCUAUCGAGUUGCUACUUCAACUACUCCAUUGACUUCACUGUCUUGUCUUCUUUAAGUAAUCCUCUAGGAGCCUUCCUUCUUGUCUCUGACUACUUCUUCUUUAAAUAAUCCUACAGGAGCCUUCCUUGUUGUUUCUGAUUGUUGAACUUAUGGCACUUUGAUUGUGACUGUAUGUUCUACGUCACCCCUUGUGGCUAUGGCCAACAAAAAAAAAUGUUUAAAUGAAUCUGUGGGAGACAAUUUAUGGUGGACGAAUACAAAAAUUAUACGGUUAAUAAAAAAACUUCUCUAAUCAAAUUGAUUCUGCCAAAGUCCCCAACCCAAUAUCACUUAAACGAUUCCCAUAAUUUCAAUUCAAUCAGAAUUAAUUAACUGCAUUCAAUGAUUCAUUUUUCAAAAGUUCAACAUAGAAACACCGUCCAAUUAUAAUCAGCAUAAAGCCAAGUCCAACAAAAUGUUGGUGAAGUCCACUAAGCAUCAUCCUCUGCAUCUGCAGCCUGAAAAAGGGCAGGAAAAUGUUUAUACACAAUUUAUUGGCAGAACUGGAACUAUAUAACAUAACCCCGAUGCAUAGCUAGAGUGACCAAAUGUACAAAGAUUUCAAAGGGCCAAU
rnacentral:lncRNA from 1 species